rnacentral:rRNA from 1 species
UACGUAGGGGGCAAGCGUUGUCCGGACUUACUGGGCGUAAAGCGCGUGCAGGCGGAUUGGUAUGUGCCGUGUGAAAGCUCUCAGCUUGCCUGGGAGAGGUCGCGGUAGACAGCCGAUCUGGAGGCUCGGAGAGGUCAGUGGAAUUCCCGGUGUAGUGGUGAAAUGCGUAGAUAUCGGGAGGAACACCUGUGGCGAAGGCG